ACUCAAAGGAAUUGACGGGGACCCGCACAAGCGGUGGAUGAUGUGGUUUAAUUCGAUGCAACGCGAAAAACCUUACCUACACUUGACAUGCCAGAAAUCCCGCAGAGAUGUGGGAGUGCCGCAAGGAAUCUGGGCACAGGUGCUGCAUGGCUGUCGUCAGCUCGUGUCGUGAGAUGUUGGGUUAAGUCCCGCAACGAGCGCAACCCUUGUCACUAGUUGCUACAUUUAGUUGGGCACUCUAGUGAGACUGCCGGUGACAAACCGGAGGAAGGUGGGGAUGACGUCAAGUCCUCAUGGCCCUUAUGUGUAGGGCUACACACGUCAUACAAUGGUCGGUACAGAGGGUUGCCAACCCGCGAGGGGGAGCUAAUCUCACAAAGCCGAUCGUAGUCCGGAUCGCAGUCUGCAACUCGACUGCGUGAAGUCGGAAUCGCUAGUAAUCGUGGAUCAGCAUGUCACGGUGAAUACGUUCCCGGGUCUUGUACACACCGCCCGU
rnacentral:rRNA from 1 species